rnacentral:tRNA from 1 species
AGCCGCGUUGCGCAAUGGAUACCGCGUCUGCCUACGGAGCGGAAGACUGCAGGUCCGAAUCCUGCUGUGGUCG